GCAUAACUUUCUUUGUAUGCGUGAUGGGAUACAAGUGGAAAGUGCUUUUCAAUGGUUUUCUAAUAUCUAUCUAUUUACAGUUUGAAUUUUGAUUUCUUUGAAAAUCCAAGCAAUACAAUCAAUUUUUAUAAUCUAUCUGUAGCCUGCCCUGCAUACACAGGGAAAAAAAUUGUAUUGAUGGGUUUUUGUUUAAAAUAUUUACCAUGUAUACUAUCAAUGUAAAAACUGAACUCGUAUUUUUCUGGGAAAUAUUAAACAUCGUGUUUUUUUACUAAUUUAUCAUAUGGAAAAUCUGUAAUAACCAAUAAUGGUAAGAGUUCAGUUCUUACAUUCAAAAAUCCAUUAAUGGAAAUUUAUAAUUUUUUCCUGUGAUAGCAGGUAUUGUUUGGUUGGCUAUGAGCAAUCUGAAUACUGCAGCAGAG